GUCUGCCUUCCAAAGUGUAGGCUUCUUAGCUGAGGCAAUUCAGAACCACAGGAAUUUACUGAAUGCCGGCCACAUGCCAGGCACGUUCAGCAUCUUUGGGAGGGCCCAUGAGUGAUGCAUUCUUUAGACACAGCAUCAGUGUCAUGACAUCUGCUGAGGAAUGGGUUCUUCUAAGACUUCAGUGAAGGAAGGGCCUGCAGCCAGGCUGCAGGGCACAGAGUAAGCCACAGUAAAGAAAAUGCACUGAGCUGCCUCUUAGGGUCACUAUCUGCAGACACACCAGAGCCAUGGCAGGCCAGAUGAACAACCACCCAUUCAUUUUCUGCAUAGCAGAUUCAAUUGGGAAUAAGGGCCCUAGUGUCAUAGGCUAAUAAAGUCUGAUUGACAGUAGGGCAGCAUCUCACCUGAGGCCUGAGGUCUUCUAAACACACAGCAGCAUGGGCAGAAAACAUGUUCUCAUGGCUGUAAAAACUCAAGCACCUUGUCCCUUGUUGACUAGCAAUUAAGAAUGUACCCCCCUUUCUUAAUAACUUACAGUCAAUUAAUU
rnacentral:lncRNA from 1 species